rnacentral:rRNA from 1 species
UACGAAGGGGGCUAGCGUUGCUCGGAAUCACUGGGCGUAAAGGGUGCGUAGGCGGGUCUUUAAGUCAGGGGUGAAAUCCUGGAGCUCAACUCCAGAACUGCCUUUGAUACUGAAGAUCUUGAGUUCGGGAGAGGUGAGUGGAACUGCGAGUGUAGAGGUGAAAUUCGUAGAUAUUCGCAAGAACACCAGUGGCGAAGGCGGCAUCCUGGACCGACACUGACGCUGAGGAGCGAAAGCCAGGGGAGCAAACGGG